rnacentral:rRNA from 1 species
AUUAAACGCUGGCGGCAUGCCUUACACAUGCAAGUCGAACGGCAGCACGGGGCAACCUGGUGGCGAGUGGCGAACGGGUGAGUAAAGCAUCGGAACGUGCCCUGGAGUGGGGGAUAACGUAGCGAAAGUUACGCUAAUACCGCAUAUUCUGUGAGCAGGAAAGCAGGGGAUCGCAAGACCUUGCGCUCUGGGAGCGGCCGAUGUCGGAUUAGCUAGUUGGUGGGGUAAAGGCCUACCAAGGCGACGAUCCGUAGCGGGUCUGAGAGGAUGAUCCGCCACACUGGGACUGAGACACGGCCCAGACUCCUACGGGAGGCAGCAGUGGGGAAUUUUGGACAAUGGGCGGAAGCCUGAUCCAGCCAUGCCGCGUGAGUGAAGAAGGCCUC